ensembl:snoRNA
GGUCCGUGAUGAGUUUCGGCGUGUAUUAGCUGAGUAUAAGCUUCAAGAUUAUCAGUUCAGCUGUAGAAUUACUCUUAAGACCUG